GAUGAAGAACGCAGCGAAAUGCGAUAAGUAAUGUGAAUUGCAGAAUUCAGUGAAUCAUCGAAUCUUUGAACGCACAUUGCGCCCGCCAGUAUUCUGGCGGGCAUGCCUGUCUGAGCGUCAUUUCAACCCUCAAGCAACUUCUGCUUGGUGUUGGGGAUCGGCCGUCAAACGCCGCCCCCGAAAUCUAUUGGCGAUCUCGCUGUAGCUUCCUAUGCGUAGUAGUAACAUCUCGCAUCUGGAGAGCGGCGCGGUGAUGCCGUAAAACACCCAACUUCUCAGGUUGACCUCAGAUCAGGUAGGAAUACCCGCUGAACUUAAGCAUAUCAAUAAGCGGAGGA
rnacentral:misc_RNA from 1 species